AUUGAACGCUAGCGGGAUGCCUAACACAUGCAAGUCGAACGGAGUGGCGAACGGGUGAGUAAUGUAUCGGAACGUGCCCCGUAGCGGGGGAUAACUACGCGAAAGCGUAGCUAAUACCGCAUACUAUUGGCGCGGCCGAUAUCGGAUUGGCUAGAUGGUGGGGUAGCGGCUCACCAAGGCGACGAUCCCGAGCGGGUUUGAGAGAACGACCAGCCAAACUGGUACUGAGACACGGCCCAGACUCCUACGGGAGGCAGCAGUGGGGAAUUUUGGACAAUGGGGGAAACCCUGAUCCAGCCAUCCCGCGUGUGCGAUGAAGGCCUUCGGGUUGUAAAGCACUUUUGGCAGGAAAGCGGUACCUGCAGAAUAAGCACCGUCUAACUACGUGCCAGCAGCCGCGGUAAUAC
rnacentral:rRNA from 1 species